AUGUGAAGGACUGGGAACCUAGUCCUGACUUUGCCUGGAACGCCCUUUGGAAAGACCUGUGUCCCUGAGGCUGAGCGACAGCGAGGAAAGUGCCUGCUCCUGCCGGGUGCCCAGCUCUUAAGUGGUCCCCAGUCUCAUGGCCGCCUACCCCGGGGCCUCCCCCAACUCAUUUAUUUCCCUGUUGGGCAUGUACUGAUACCUCUACAGUGUGAGGACGGAACCACAUCUGAGGGGUGGACACUCAGCGGGUGCCCAGCAGAUGUCUGUGGAAUUUCCUCCACACAGCAGGGAAACCAACAGAGACAGAAACCUCUGCAGGCCCCAGAGGGCACCCACCUCCCUGACCCCGCCCAGCUCCCUGAUGGGCACCCACUUCUCUGACCCUCAUCCCACAAGCUGGGCCUAGGGAGUCGGUGGUCUGGCUGGUCAUGCCCUGGGCACUGGCGCCUGCAGAGAGUUCAGGAGGUGAAGUUUAUCUCAGCUCGGCCCGUGACUGCACUGAAGGACAGGAGGGAGCAGCCAUGGCUGUGGCUGGAAUUGGAAGCCAGUGCCGGCAGCUAGGGCCUUUCCCUGGGUGGUGACAGGCAAGGACCAGGGCCCUAUCCGUCUGAGGGAAGGGCGAGGGGACGCUCCCUGUGGCGGGGGUGGGGAUCCUGGUAGCCGGGGCUCAGUGACCGCUGCCUGGGCCACAGCCUGUGGGGACCUGACCUUCCUGGGGAAACCCAUGGCCAAAGGAGCCGAGAAAUCCAAGCACCAAACGGCCGCUAGGGCAGGACGGGAGUGUUCAGCCGUGGAGAGGCCGGAUGUGUCCAUGGGAAAGGAAAGAAAUGGAAGCAGAGGCUCUUCAGGGGCACCCGGGAACGCAGCCUACACUCUUCCCAGGCCUCCUCCCUCCGUCCACCAUGCCGCCUGGGUCCUGGGACAGCCUGAGGGCCACAGGCUCCCAUGCAAGGCCCGCUGGGGGCCGGCUUGUCUGGGGCUGAAUUGGGACUCUGUGGGGCUAUGGCUUUAAUUUCACAGUAACCGAUAACCAGUGAACUGAAGCCAGGACAGCACCGUGAGCACCAAGUCAGAGAAUUUUCACGAGGGACUGAUGAACAGGAACAGGGUGCGAGGCUGCCCCAGCUGCGUCCUCCAGAGGCGCCUUCCCAGGGGAGUGUGAGGCUGCCUGCUGUGGCCCCCAAAGCACCUUCCUCACCGCCAGGUGUCUUUUGAGGCACUCAAACAUCAGAGGCCCCAGCCAUGUGCUCUGGAGGAGAAGCUGAGAGCCCCAGGCCACAGGCAGGGCAGCCUCUGAGGGCCGGCUCAGGGAGAGUGGCCGGAGCUUCUGGGCUGGGGCAGGUGGACCUGUUAUAAACUGCAUGUGUUGCCUCUGGCAGCAGCCAUAGCAAGAGAUUCUCUUCCUAUCACACAGGGAACAAACUCAAGGAUCUUGACCCUGCCCUCCUCUCCCCAGCUGGCCGCACUCGGGGAUGCUGAUGCCACAAAUAAAAUAAUAAACCAAAACAAGAUAACUCUACUGGGCGGCGGGAACAGAAAUGAACAUGUAGCAAUCAGUCAUCUUCAUCCCGCAAGCAAGCGAGGCGACGCCGUGGAAAGGACGGCCUUCUUUGCUACAAAUAGCCAGAAGUGAACUUGGCAAAGGAAGCGCGGGGCGCACGGGAAAAAAAGUGCUCCAAGGGACGGACAGGACGGUGCCGGGGUAAGGAAAGCACAACGCUGUUUAGACAGUCUCCAAUAUAUGAAUUGCAAGCCCAGUUAAAAAUAUCAAAAGGGCUUUUUUAGGUUUUUAAGACUAUUUUUUAAAGUCUAGUUGUAUUAAAAAAUAAGCAAGAUAACCAGAAAAAAGACUGAGGAGGGCAUAGGAGACCCACCCGCGUGCAUGAGGCCAAGUCUAAAGCUGUGGCCACGGCCUGUGGAAAACCCGGCAGAAAUCUCCCAAAUACCCAGCACGUGAGGAUGGAGGCAGGCGAGGCACCGGGGACGCGAGGACGGAGGCAGGCGAGGCACCGGGGACGCGAGGACGGAGGCAGGCGAGGCACCGGGGACGCGAGGACGGAGGCAGGCGAGGCACCGGG